GGAAACUUCAACAUGAAAUUCAUCUGCCACUGCACAUCCCAGGCAUGAAGCACAGCCCUCACCAUUUGUUACUUUGGUUAUUUGAAAUCAGAAUUUCUGAAAUUUGUUUUCUUCUUUGACGUCCAUUUUUGUCUUCAUUAUGUUGGUGCAAAUGCAAAGAGGAAUGGGCUUACCUGUGUCUGCUGGAAAAAGAUCAAAAAAGCAAAACUCUUCUGCAAAGGUAGCUGACUUGCAAAGCUGCAGCAGGUUGACAAUGUGUCUGAAACAUCUAUUCAACGUGAAAAUAUAAGCUAUGUCAUGCUUCUCUGUGGCAAGGAUGUGCACUAAAGAAGGUCCAUGGACCAGCUAUCUCAAGACAGGGCAUUCCUCACCAAAGAACUCAGGUGACUUUGGAGUUUAUAAUGAUCCUUCAACAUUAAAAACAUUUAGGUCUUGUGAUCUCGGAGGAGAUGAAAAGCAACAGAUAAAACUGCAUUCCAGUUUCCCUGAUGGCCCACAAGGCAAAGAUACUGAAUCAUAUGUGAAGUCAGCUCUCGAAGCUUUAACCACUGUGUAGACUUAACGCACCUGAAGCUUCAGCUAAGAGGAAAAAGAAGCAAGUUCACGUGCUUUUUGGGUAAGAACAAAGGUGACUCACAAUUGCUUCUAUUCCCCCAUGACAAAUGGGAAGACUGAGGGGAAAAAUGAAGCAGUGCUACUGUUGGUGGCAGUGAAGUAAAAUGAAUGACCCAUAGAUUUUUCACUGAAGGCUCUUCACAGAGGCACGCUGAGCAGAUUGGCCAGGAGAAGAGAUCUCCAACUUGCUCUGAAAGUGAGAAGAAACCAAGAGAGAGCCUUCUCUGAGUGGAAGCCAGGCAGAGAGCUCUCACAAGACAGUGCUUGGCAGAUGCAAUCAAUCACCAUUCCAGCAUGUGCAGCUCCGGACUACAUGGCACAACUUCCACUUGCCCAAUGGGGAUGGGAAGACAUAUAGGAAACAAAGGAUUAUGAUAUUCUAGGUAGGAACGGAGACAAAAGAGAGGCCCAAAGAUGAUGAGAACUGUUCAGAUCUGCCCUGCCAUCUCUCAUUAUACAGAAUCAUGUUCUUCUUUCAUCCAUGUUGUCCAGCAGACUUCAUAGCUGGUUUUCUCAAUUACUUGUACAAGACUCUGUCUAUAGCUACAUAUUACCACUACUGCAGACAGACUUCUAGCUAGGAAGAACAAGAAAGACAUAAUCCAACUGGAACAUCUUCUAUAAAGAAACCAGAAUAUAUUGGCUAGGAAGAGCAAUCCUUUCCUGUGCAAGCAGGUAGUCUGUGGGGAGGAAAAGGCAGCCUGAGUUAUGCUUUUGUGUUUGUCUGGUUUUGACUACUUGAAGUCUUCUGGGGUAUGUGAAAUCACUGUAAAGACUGAGCACCCUGUGACUGCCAGGUAUGAUGUGACAAUUACUUCCCAUCAGUAGCAGAAACCGAUUGAGAUAAUGAUAUCAGUUGCUUUUUUUUAAAAAAUCAAACAUCUUUGAAGAGUAGUUAGACUGAAAUGAUCAACACAGAAGUGCAACAUAUUGGAUGAGGAAUGCCUUAUUUAAUAUAGGUUUUAAAAACAGGGCACUUUCUGUAGAUGCCACUUCUAAAACAUUUGACAAGAACCUUCAGCCGUUCCAGCUCUGAAGGGAGUGACAAGCCAUGCCCUGUAAGGUUAUCCACAGAGGUAAUUUCCUGUAAUUCUGCAAGCUCACUCAAAUCAAUAAACCAUAUAUAUGUAUUUAAAUGUUUGCAAGGUCAAGAACUUAACACCUAACAUACCUGCUUCAGAGGGGUCACAGUAAGUCCUUUUUAUUUAGGAAACAGCUGAUAAAACUAAGUCUUUUACCCACUCUUAACAUGGUAUCUCCAUUUUUUUCAACUCUGUGGCAUUAAUUUUUUGAAGACUAUAAAAUGACAAAUGAUAACAGUCAAGUUAUGGGCACAUACCUGUAGCCUUACUGGAGAAAUUAUGUUUUGAACAGUAUAUAAAUUAAGACAGUAUUUUCCAGAGGACUAAAUGGAGAGUAACUUGACGUUUCUGUUAUGGAUGCACUGAACUUGAGACACUAGCAAUUUUAUAAGGUUUUGUAAGCACAUUGUAUGUUAUGGAGGCCCAAUGAGACUGCUGAGAAGAACUGCUCCUUUUGCCUCAAUGCUGCCACUAAACCCAUGCAGCAGUUUUUGCAGGUGAUAUGGUCUCUGCAGAAUGUAAGGAUCAUUAUGUUUUGUACUCAUCUGCACAGGUGUUGCAGCAAUACUUCAUAGUUCAGUGCAACCACUAUCCAAAAGGUCCAAAUUGAGGGCUUGAAUUAGGCGAUUCGAUGGUGGUGCUGCUUGUGCACAGUGGCACAAGGCUCCAUCUAUAUAUUUUUAAAAUUGUUGUUGAGCCUUUCCUUACGUACUUUCUUCUACAGUGUCUCUAGAGUUUUCUGUUGUCACCUGAAGAACUUUUUUUUUUUUUUCUGAGUUUCCUCAGACUGGAAUAAACGGGUUUUUUUCCUUCUUUGAUUAAAUAAAGCAUUUCCACUGCUGAGUGCUGGCAACAUUCC
ensembl:lncRNA